UACAGAGGGUGCGAGCGUUAAUCGGAAUAACUGGGCGUAAAGGGCGCGUAGGCGGUUUGUUAUGUGGGAUGUGAAAGCCCCGGGCUUAACCUGGGAAGCGCAUCCCAAACGGACAGACUGGAAUACAGGAGAGGGUGGCGGAAUUUCCGGUGUAGCGGUGAAAUGCGUAGAGAUCGGAAGGAACGUCAGUGGCGAAGGCGGCCACCUGGACUGAUAUUGACGCUGAGGCGCGAAAGCGUGGGUAGCGAACAGG
rnacentral:rRNA from 1 species